CCUGCGGAGGGAUCAUUACCGAGUUUACAACUCCCAAACCCCUGUGAACAUACCUAUUUGUUGCCUCGGCGGUGCCUGUUCCGACAGCCCGCCAGAGGACCCCAAACCCUGAUUACAUUUAAGAAGUCUUCUGAGUAAACCGAUUAAAUAAAUCAAAACUUUCAACAACGGAUCUCUUGGUUCUGGCAUCGAUGAAGAACGCAGCGAAAUGCGAUAAGUAAUGUGAAUUGCAGAAUUCAGUGAAUCAUCGAAUCUUUGAACGCACAUUGCGCCCGCUAGUAUUCUGGCGGGCAUGCCUGUCCGAGCGUCAUUUCAACCCUCAAGCCCCCGGGCUUGGUGUUGGGGAUCGGCGAGCCUCCGCGCCCGCCGUCCCCUAAAUCUAGUGGCGGUCUCGCUGUAGCUUCCUCUGCGUAGUAGCACACCUCGCACUGGGAAACAGCGCGGCCACGCCGUUAAACCCCCA
rnacentral:rRNA from 1 species